GCCAUAUUCCUUUUCUUCCUUGUCAACAUCAUAUCAUUCAUCUAUUCAACAAAGUUCGAUUGGAUGCCUACUGUGCCAGGCACUGUUCAAAGGGCUUGGGAAACACCAAUGAAAAAACAGAUGAAUAUUGUUGGUAGAGCUUAUAUUUGUAAUUGUUACUUUUUAAAGCUUUUUCCCACUUAACCAUGCAGGCUCAGCUGCAAAGCAUGCUGGAAUUUUGGAACAGCACAGCAGGGUUCAGUGGAGCUUGGCAAAAUAUUCUGAGUGGUCCAUAAAGCCAGUCUCAAGGAACAUGGCCAGCAAUCUAUAUCACAAUGUUCCAGGGCCUGCAGGCUCCAACAGUCAAGUUUAUCUGACAAUCUAGUGGGCAGGAGCCCAGGAUCAAAAGGCUCUGAGCAAUAUUAAUAAGUGUGGCAACACCUUGAUUUCAGUGAGAUCUAGGAGGAACCCAAGCCCAGCCAAUAGCUGGAAGUACAAGGGACAGUGUACAACUCCUUCAAGGAAGGGGAUCUGGUCCCCUUCGUACUGCCUGACUUCCUGAGGAAACUUAGCUGGACACCAUCUGGCUUCCCACUUCCAACUCUAGCCUGGACAUGGAAGAAAGAGGUCAAGCAGGUAAACCUUCCUUAUCCCGCCCUAUCUCUAUCCCCAAGUAAUAGUCAUAAGACUCGAGUGAGGAGUUCCCGUCGUGGCACAGUGGUUAACGAAUCCAACUAGGAACCAUGAGGUUGUGGGUUUGAUCCCUGCCCUUGCUCAGUGGGUUAAGGAUCUGGCGUUGCUGUGAGCUGUGGUGUAGGUUGCAGACGCAGCUCGGAUCCUGCG
rnacentral:lncRNA from 9 species